UGAAUGGCUUUGGUUUAUUCUAUGGUUUAUUACUUUCGUGGCUAAAGACCCACAGGCAGGUGAGUCAUUUUCCCUUAUGGUAAUAAAAUCUUUCUAACCCUUUGCAAACAUUUUUUGUCUGCUGUAAGCUCUGUGGAUCCCUUGGGGGGGCCAGACAACGUCUUAUUUUAUUUUGGGUACUUUGUAAUAUUUAUUUUUUUCACUUUAUUAUCUGUCCAGUAGAUGGCAGUAUAUUACCAGACAGAGGGGUUCUUGGUACUCAAGUAAGAUUGAACCCACGUCAAAAUCUAUGUAAUUAUUGUUUUUGGCAUUUGUAUAACGCCAACUUAUUCCGCAGCGGGGGGGAAUUUAACACAUCAAAAAGAGACAAUUAGAAAAUGUUACAGGAAGAAUAGGUGAAUGAGGACCCUGCUCAAAAGAGCUACCAGAGCUCUAAUUGCAUGUACUCCAUUUUGUAAAUAUUGUAUAUAAAUUAUCCCACCCUUGCCUGUACUUUAUUUUGUCUAGUGUGUUUAUUUUUAUUAGGUAAAUCACUAUAAUAUCCUGCAUAUGUGUUCUGUACAGUGGGGUAGUCCAGCAAAGUAACACAAGCCAUUUAGGACCUUGCUGUUUUAUAUUUAUGUCUGCAGCGCUUUUUUAGCAAAUGUUCUAAGUCUUAUUUUAUCAUUAUAGGUGCCACUUCUUGGAAGCUUGUUUUUUUUUUCUACUGUGUGUUGGCCUCCCCACUCUGUCUGUGUAAGCGUCCUUGCAACAGUUACAUGCUGGACAAAGUCUCAAAGAUGUCAUCGUUCCCUGCAAGAGCCGCUGUCGUCAAAGUGGAGGAGUGAAUUUCGUGGGCUGUUUUACACCCCAAGCCUUUCUAGACCUGUUUUAUUCUGGAGGCAAUGUUUUAUUCACG